rnacentral:rRNA from 1 species
UUUCUCACAUACGGGGAAAGAACUAACAAGGAUUCCCCUAGUACCUGCGAGUGAAGCGGGAAAAGCUCAAAUUUAAAAUCUAAUGGUCUUUGGCCAUUCGAGUUGUAAUUUAGAGAAGCGUCUUCCGCGCCAGACCAUGUACAAGUCUCCUGGAACGGAGCGUCAUAGAGGGUGAGAAUCCCGUCUUUGACAUGGACCCUCGGUGCUUCUGUGAUGCGCUCUCAAAGAGUCGAGUUGUUUGGGAAUGCAGCUCAAAAUGGGUGGUGAACUCCAUCUAAGGCUAAAUAUUGGCGAGAGACCGAUAGCGAACAAGUACCGUGAGGGAAAGAUGAAAAGCACUUUGGAAAGAGAGUGAAACAGUACGUGAAAUUGUUGAAAGGGAAACACUUGAAGUCAGUCGCGUCGAUCGAGACUCAGCCUUGCCUCGGCUUGGUGUACUUCUCGACUUGACGGGCCAGCAUCAAUUUCGUCCCUCGGAUAAUGGCAAGUGAAAGGUGGCACCUUUUUAAGGUGUGUUAUAGUCUCUUGUCGCAUGCGAGGGGUGGGAUUGAGGAACUCAGCACGCACCUCACGGUGUCGGGGCUUCGGCCCACGUUACGUGCUCAGGAUGCCGGCGUAAUGGCUUUAAAUGACCCGUCUUGAAACACGGACCAAGGAGUCUAACAUGCCUGCGAGUGUUCGGGUGGAAAACCCGUGUGCGUAAUGAAAGUAAAAGUUGGGACCUCUGUCGUGGAGGGCACCGACGCCCGGACCAGACCUUCUGUGACGGAUCUGCGGUAGAGCAUGCAUGUUGGGACCCGAAAGAUGGUGAACUAUGCCUGAAUAGGGUGAAGCCAGAGGAAACUCUGGUGGAGGCUCGUAGCGAUUCUGACGUGCAAAUCGAUCGUCAAAUUUGGGUAUAGGGGCGAAAGACUAAUCGAACCAUCUAGUAGCUGGUCCGCACAAAUUUCUCC